GUAAGAUCUCUCCCAGGCAGAGGAGGAAGGGACUAAGAGCCACGCCCACUAUGAAAGGUAAGAUCUCUCCCAGGCAGAGGAGGAAGGGAGCAAGAGCCACGCCCACUAUGAAAGGUAAGAUCUCUCCCAGGCAGAGGAGGAAGGGAGCAAGAGCCACGCCCACUAUGAAAGGUAAGAUCUCUCCCAGGCAGAGGAGGAAGGGAGCAAGAGCCACGCCCACUAUGAAAGGUAAGAUCUCUCCCAGGCAGAGGAGGAAGGGAGCAAGAGCCACGCCCACUAUGAAAGGUAAGAUCUCUCCCAGGCAGAGG